AUUGGUGAUAAUAGCGAAGGGGAUACACUCGUUCCCAUCCCGAACACGAUAGUUAAGCCCUUCAGCGCCGAGGAUAGUAAGUUUAAUUCUUGCAAAAGUAGGACAUUGCCAUAC
rnacentral:rRNA from 1 species